AGCAAGGAGAGGCGGGGCGAGUUGCACUGAGCCACCAAUACCAGACAUUCACGGCAUGGCAUCAAAACGAACCUAUUCAGCUGGUUCAGAAAAAAGAAAAAAAAGAAAAACUUGUUGAAGAAAAACACUCACAGGAUAAAGGAGCAAUUCUGAAAUAUUUUGGAGCCAUGGACCAGGAAGCAGCACAGCUGCCUUCAGCACCAACGGACCAGAAUGUUUAAGUUUAAAAAAGUUUUACAAUUUAAAAUAAACAUUUUUGAGGAACACUG